AUGAACGCUGGCGGCGUGGAUAAGGCAUGCAAGUCGGACGAUUUCCUUUUUUUGAAGAAGAUGCGAUUACAUCAAGUCAACUGAUAUUUUGGAGAUAGUGGCGAACGAGCUAGUAACACCUUGGUACGUACCCAAAAGUUUGGUAUAGCUCGCCGAAAGGCGGGGUAAUCCCAAAUAAUCCCUCUAUCUAUCGGAUAGAAGGGUAAAGUCGCAAGACGCUUUUGGAGCGGCCUAGGACCGAUCAGUUAGUUGGUGAGGUAAUGGCUCACCAAGACGAUAACCGGUAGGGG
rnacentral:rRNA from 1 species